rnacentral:pre_miRNA from 1 species
UAGGUAGUUUCACGUUGUUGGGCCUUGGUUUGGAACACGCAAGAACAUCAAACUACCUGAU